CUACGGGUCGCUCCAGUAGGGAAUAUUGGGCAAUGGGGGAAACCCUGACCCAGCAACGCCGCGUGAGGGAAGAAGGUUUUCGGAUUGUAAACCUCUGUCCUUGGGGAAGAAAAAAAUGACGGUACCCAAGGAGGAAGCUCCGGCUAACUACGUGCCAGCAGCCGCGGAAUACGUAGGGGGCAAGCGUUGUCCGGAAUUACUGGGCGUAAAGGGUGUGUAGGCGGCAUAUUAAGUCAGAUGUGAAAGGUAGGGGCUCAGCCCCUGAACUGCAUUUGAAACUGAUAAGCUUGAGUGCGGGAGAGGUAAGUGGAAUUCCUGGUGUAGCGGUGGAAUGCGUAGAUAUUAGGAGGAACACCAGUGGCGAAGGCGACUUACUGGCUCGUAACUGACGCUGAGACACGAAAGCGUGGGGAGCAAACAGGAUUAGAUACCCUCGUAGUC
rnacentral:rRNA from 1 species